CCUACGGGAGGCAGCAGUGAGGAAUAUUGGUCAAUGGACGAGAGUCUGAACCAGCCAAGUAGCGUGAAGGAUGACUGCCCUAUGGGUUGUAAACUUCUUUUAUAUGGGAAUAAAACAGGGUAUGCAUACCCUCUUGUAUGUACCAUAUGAAUAAGGAUCGGCUAACUCCGUGCCAGCAGCCGCGGUAAUACGGAGGAUCCGAGCGUUAUCCGGAUUUAUUGGGUUUAAAGGGAGCGUAGGUGGAUUGUUAAGUCAGUUGUGAAAGUUUGCGGCUCAACCGUAAAAUUGCAGUUGAAACUGGCAGUCUUGAGUACAGUAGAGGUGGGUGGAAUUCGUGGUGUAGCGGUGAAAUGCUUAGAUAUCACGAAGAACUCCGAUUGCGAAGGCAGCUCACUGGACUGCAACUGACACUGAUGCUCGAAAGUGUGGGGAUCAAACAGGAUUAGAUACCCCAGUAGUC
rnacentral:rRNA from 1 species